GACGAACGCUGGCGGCGUGCCUAAUACAUGCAAGUAGGACGCACAGUUUAUACCGUAGCUUGCUACACCAUAGACUGUGAGUUGCGAACGGGUGAGUAACGCGUAGGUAACCUGCCUAUUAGAGGGGGAUAACUAUUGGAAACGAUAGCUAAUACCGCAUAACAGUAUGUAACACAUGUUAGAUGCUUGAAAGAUGCAAUUGCAUCGCUAGUAGAUGGACCUGCGUUGUAUUAGCUAGUAGGUAGGGUAAAGGCCUACCUAGGCAACGAUACAUAGCCGACCUGAGAGGGUGAUCGGCCACACUGGGACUGAGACACGGCCCAGACUCCUACGGGAGGCAGCAGUAGGGAAUCUUCGGCAAUGGGGGGAACCCUGACCGAGCAACGCCGCGUGAGUGAAGAAGGUUUUCGGAUCGUAAAGCUCUGUUGUUAAGGAAGAACG
rnacentral:rRNA from 1 species